AUGUCAGAACAAUUUCUAUAUCACACACAAAUAAAGGAUGGUCUUAGUGCAAUUUGGGAAGCUAGGAAUGGUGUAAUCUUCAAAAAUCAUCUUAUUCCUUUCAACUCAAUUUGCUCCAAAAUUUUGGCACAAGUUAAGCUUACUAGCGGUAAAUCUACUCUAACUUCUAGAGCCUCUAUUGAGAACUUUGUUCUUCUUAAAGCUUUCAACACAUCAAUCCAUCCUCACAAGGCCCCUACAAUCAAAGAAGUGAUUUAG